rnacentral:rRNA from 1 species
GUGGGGAAUUUUGGACAAUGGGCGAAAGCCUGAUCCAGCAAUGCCGCGUGCAGGAUGAAGGCCCUCGGGUUGUAAACUGCUUUUGUACGGAACGAAAAGCCUGGGGCUAAUAUCCCCGGGUCAUGACGGUACCGUAAGAAUAAGCACCGGCUAACUACGUGCCAGCAGCCGCGGUAAUACGUAGGGUGCAAGCGUUAAUCGGAAUUACUGGGCGUAAAGCGUGCGCAGGCGGUUUUGUAAGACAGUGGUGAAAUCCCCGGGCUCAACCUGGGAACUGCCAUUGUGACUGCAAGGCUAGAGUGCGGCAGAGGGGGAUGGAAUUCCGCGUGUAGCAGUGAAAUGCGUAGAUAUGCGGAGGAACACCGAUGGCGAAGGCAAUCCCCUGGGCCUGCACUGACGCUCAUGCACGAAAGCGUGGGGAGCAAACAGGAUUAGAUACCCGUGUAGUCC